GGCUUAACGGCGGUUAGAGCUAACGGCUCAUAACCGUUCGGUCGCAGGUUCGAGUCCUGCAAGGUCCA
rnacentral:tRNA from 1 species